rnacentral:lncRNA from 1 species
GGAGAAGAAGUCUUUAACAUAACGCACUUUGGUAACCUCGUUAAAAGUUAACCACAUUUCAACUUCGGUCUUGCCUACUUCAAAAUUAAAAUGUUGGCAAGCAAACUGCGCUUCAUCAGAAGACAAACUGCGGUUUUCGACAAGAUAUUUGAGUGCCGCAGUUAAAUCUCUCACAGGAUCUGAAAAUAUUCUUAGCAAGUAAGAUAAGCC